rnacentral:rRNA from 1 species
CCAAGGGNAUGCCUUAGUAGCGGCGAGUGAAGCGGCAAAGCUCAAAUUUGAAAUCUGGCUCUUUCAGAGUCCGAGUUGUAAUUUGAAGAAGGUAUCUUUGGGUCUGGCUCUUGUCUAUGUUUCUUGGAACAGAACGUCACAGAGGGUGAGAAUCCCGUGCGAUGAGAUGAUCCAGGCCUAUGUAAAGUUCCUUCGAAGAGUCGAGUUGUUUGGGAAUGCAGCUCUAAGUGGGUGGUAAAUUCCAUCUAAAGCUAAAUAUUGGCGAGAGACCGAUAGCGAACAAGUACAGUGAUGGAAAGAUGAAAAGAACUUUGAAAAGAGAGUGAAAAAGUACGUGAAAUUGUUGAAAGGGAAGGGCUUGAGAUCAGACUUGGUAUUUUGUAUGUUACUUCUUCGGGGGUGGCCUCUACAGUUUAUCGGGCCAGCAUCAGUUUGGGCGGUAGGAGAAUUGCGUUGGAAUGUGGCACGGCUUCGGUUGUGUGUUAUAGCCUUCGUCGAUACUGCCAGCCUAGACUGAGGACUGCGGUUUAUACCUAGGAUGUUGGCAUAAUGAUCUUAAGUCGCCCGUCUUGAACCACGGACCAAGGAGUCGAACGUCUAUGCAUAUCCAUAAGCGGAGGCGGAGGAU